GUCCACUGAACCUUAUCAUUUAGAGGAAGGAGAAGUCGUAACAAGGUUUCCGUAGGUGAACCUGCGGAAGGAUCAUUGUCGAAACCUGCACGGCAGACCCGCGAACCCGUUCCACAGCUCACCCGGGAGUACGACGCGGGCGACGCCCCGCCUCGGAGACCCGUUCCGUCGACGCGCGCCUCGCGCACGUCGUGCGGCCCAACGAACCCCGGCGCGAAAAGCGUCAAGGAACACUCAAAGCGUCGCCCGCCCCGGGAUGCCCCGUCCGCGGUGCGCUCUCGGGGAUCGGGCGCGUGUCGAAUUCGAAACGACUCUCGGCAACGGAUAUCUUGGCUCUCGCAUCGAUGAAGAACGCAGCAAAAUGCGAUACUUGGUGUGAAUUGCAGAAUCCCGUGAACCAUCGAGUUUUUGAACGCAAGUUGCGCCCGAAGCCUCCGUGCCGAGGGCACGUCUGCCUGGGCGUCACGCACAGCGUCGCCCUCCACCCCCGCCGCAGAGGAACCGCGGGGUGCUGGGCCGGAGAUUGGCCUCCCGUGCGCGUCCGUGUGCGGCCGGCCCAAAUGCGAUUCGGCGUCGACGCGCGCCGCGGCAAUUGGUGGUUGAAGGCCUCAACUCGCGCGUUGUCGGGCAGGAGCGCGGCGUUCGUCCCGAAUGCUUCGACCCCUCGGUGCUCCGCACCUCCGAAGCGACCCCAGGUCAGGCGGGAUCACCCGCUGAGUUUAAGCAUAUCAAUAAGCGGAGGA
rnacentral:rRNA from 1 species